UACGUAGGGUGCGAGCGUUAAUCGGAAUUACUGGGCGUAAAGCGUGCGCAGGCGGUUCGCCAAGUCAGGUGUGAAAUCCCCGGGCUUAACCUGGGAAUGGCAUUUGGGACUGCAAGGCUUGAGUGCGGCAGAGGAGACUGGAAUUCCUGGUGUAGCAGUGAAAUGGGUAGAUAUGCGGAGGAACACCGAUGGCGAAGGCAAUCCCCUGGGCCUGCACUGACGCUCAUGCACGAAAGCGUGGGGAGCAAACAGG
rnacentral:rRNA from 1 species